rnacentral:sRNA from 1 species
AGGACGCCCAGGGCCCCGCCCAGAGUCCGAAGGGGAUGGAGAGGGGCCGGGGACCCGCUGGAUUGUUACCCCAAUUCGCGGAUUCUGGUUUCUGACGGCUAUGCCGGAAUUCCUUCCCCGGGACUUGGGAACCACUUCUGCCUCCCUCCCUGGGGCGUGGAGGCUGAGGAAAAGGAGUUAAUGUGUUAAGAGCCAUUGACAUUUGAAGAUCAUCAGAAGUGAAGAUAAAACAUCUCAAAAAUUAUAAUUGCCUCCACUUCUCAUUCAGAGAAUUCAGUGCAUACAAAAUCAGCCUCUGUUGUAUCAUCAGAUUCCAUUUCAACUUCUGCCGACAACUUUUCUCCUGAUUUGAGGCCCAUGCAGUCCAGUUCGGGAGCUAAGUCACUUAAACACUGUGUGAUAGUUCCUACACAUCUCAUUAUAGUUU